rnacentral:rRNA from 1 species
UACGAGGAGGCUAAGCGUUGUCCGGAAUUAUUGGGCGUAAAGAGCUCGUAGGCGGUCUGUCGCGUCUGCCGUGAAAACCCGAGGCUUAACCUCGUGGCUUGCGGUGGAUACGGGCAGACUAGAGGUAGGUAGGGGAGAAUGGAAUUCCCGGUGUAGCGGUGAAAUGCGCAGAUAUCGGGAGGAACACCGGUGGCGAAGGCGGUUCUCUGGGCCUUACCUGACGCUGAGGAGCGAAAGCGUGGGGAGCGAACAGG